AAGUCGUAACAAGGUUUCCGUAGGUGAACCUGCGGAAGGAUCAUUACCGUAAUAUCAAAAAGCGAGACCGAGUGCGUGCCAUUGCCGCAAGGCGAUGGGAUGUGCUUUGUUUCCGUCUUUUUCAACCCCUUGUGUGAACCAACGAUGUCAAUGGGCCGCGGUGGGUGUUGGACGUGGCGCGUGCGAAAGCACAUGCUGUGGUUUUACAUCCCCCAAGGCCCAUGAUUCACUCCGAUGGACCGUCCAUGGAUGGCUCCUCACAACUCAACCACAACCAAUGGGACUAACAUGCUUUUGUUUUAAACCAAAAACAACUUUUAACAACGGAUCUCUAGGCUCUC
rnacentral:misc_RNA from 1 species